rnacentral:lncRNA from 1 species
CCAAAUCUGUCAAAAUUCAUCGAAUUUGUGGCCCUUCCUCUCCCCAAGCUCGAGUCGGAUCCCCUGCCGGAGAAUGCUGAAGCCACGCCGACAUUCCGUUGGAGAGAAUGGAUGAUCUGAUGAUUGCUUGUGAUCUCCUCCGAGAACCUGUCAAGAAAGUGAUUGCUGAGAGAUCUCCAAACUGGAUAUUAGUUGAUUUCUUUUACCACUGGGCAGCUGACAUUGCGCUAGAACUGGACGUCCCGUUGAUACUUUACUUUAUCGCGCUAGCAGCAGGCGAGUACGUAGCCUCAGGACAUGACAGUCCCUCCGGAUCAUGAAACUGAAGCAAGCACAUCUGGAAUGGAAGCUGCAGCACGCGUAAUUAGAAUAACCCAAGGAUACAAGGCCAUUGUGGUACGCACUUGCCCGGAACUCGAAGCUGAUUAUUUGAAAUCAUUCUCGAAAAUGACUGGCAGGCCGGUGAUUCCAAUGGGAUGUCUUCCACCUGAGACGGUGGAGGAGGCGAGAGUUAAUGGGGAAGAGGGGUGUUUGGUUGGCUUGACAAACAAAAGCCAAAAUCAGUAGCGUUUAUCGGGUUUGGGAGUGAAUGCAAAUUGCAGAGGGAGGAUAUUCAUGAGAUAGCAUAUGGGAUUGAACUAUCCGGGCUUCCCUUCAUAUUUAUACUGGCAAAGCCUCUUUGGGGUGGUGGUGAUGAUGAUGAAGUAGUGCCCCCAGGAUUCGAGUCCCGGACAGCAGGGAGGGGCGUCGUGCAGAUUGGAUGGGCGCCCCAGAGGGAAAUCCUCGCCCAUCCUUCAAUAGGAGGUUCGUUGUUUCAUGCAGGGUGGGGUUCUAUUAUGGAAAAUUUGAGACAUGGAAACUACCUUGUGCUCUUGCCAUUCAUCUUCACUCAACCAUUGGAGACAAGGCUUCUAGUUGACAAGGGUUUGGCAAUAGAGGUCGAGCGAGCUGAAGAUGGAUCUUUUACGAGAAAUGGCAUUGCAAAUGCAUUGCGAAAGGCAAUGGUCGCUCAGGAAGGGGAGGCACUAAGAGCCAGAACAAAAGAAGCUGCUCAUGGAAUUUUCGCAAAUAAACAACUCAACCAUACUUAUUUCAACAAGUUUGUGGAGUAUCUGAAAGAUGGGGUUUACGAGAAUAAGUAAGUUCUAAUGGGAGCAUUCGCUACGUAUGUGUUGUUAUUAUGUUUAUUUUGCUAGAGUUGUUCAGGCUAAUGCUUUUAGUCCAAGGCCCUUAGCUAUCUAUGUAUGAGUUUGCUAUGUUACUAUGUAUGUUUGUGUUUCAUCAACAUGAAUAAAAUACCAGUUCCUUUAUCCAUGUACAUCUUUUCUCUGUUUCCUGAGAAUACUAGAAAGUUAGAAACCAAUCAACAAGGAGGGGCGUUUAAUUUUGAGGAUUAGCCUUAAUAGAUAAAAAUAGUAAGGUUAUUCACUAAAAUGGAUUGCAACUUUGGGAUUUUCUAAGACCAUUGAUUAUUUCUAUCAUUUGAGCUAGUUUUGGUUGAUGUAUAUCCCAUUGAAAGGGUGAGACUGGAAAAAUCCUAGUAGAUAAAAUACUCAAUCAUGCAAAGUAAACGCUCUCUAUAUUCAUGAAGCUCUCACAUUCUCAUUGACCAAAACUUGAACUAGUUUUAGACAAAGAUGAGAAUUCAAAAUCCAGCAAGUUUCACUACAUAUAUAAUUCAUCAUGUCACAGAUUAAAAUCAAGCUAACCUCAAAACAAAAGCACAUCAACUGAGAGUGUCUCCGCGAGUAAUGCCUAGCAUAGCACCAAUGUUGUUUGAUGAUCUUGACAGCCUCAACAAGGAUAUCCUGCUCUGCUUCUUUCUCCUACAGCACAAUAAGCAGUUGUAGCAAAAAAAAAAAAAAAAACAGAUGUUGCAAAAUGGGGUCAUUACUAUGAGCUCAGACAUGUAUACUGUCAGUGAAUUUUUGAAAUUCAGGACUCGAAGAAGCAUAUGCGGAGCUAAAUGGAUCAUCCUAUGUAAAGCCCUAAAUGCAGCCGCCAAUUACUAUCAAAAUCUAAUUCAAAACCUAAACUACCAAUUGAAAAAGGAUCAAAUACGUAAGCGACAGUCAGAGCUAUACUUUUAUGGUAUCGCCAAUUGAAAAUGGUUGUGAUAUCAACUGCCCAGUGGUGAGAGAAAAUCAACCUGAAUACAUGAUCCAGUUUGGAGAUUUCUCAUAGAGGACUGGAGAUCACAAGCAAUCUUCAUCAGAUCAUUCAUCCAUUCUCUCGGUUGGGGAGAGGAAGGCCACGAAUUCCAUGAAUUGUGACAGAUUUGGUGGGAUUUUGACAUGUUUUGAGGAGUAGAGAUGAAGAAGAAAACACGAAUGCCAAUAGAGAGAGAUCCAUCAACAUCAUUUUCUUCUCUCCUCCUUCUUCCACCCUUGAUUAUUUUGACUAGUAU